rnacentral:rRNA from 1 species
CCUACGGGAGGCAGCAGUGAGGAAUAUUGGUCAAUGGCCGGAAGGCUGAACCAGCCAUGCCGCGUGAAGGUCAGUGCCCUAUGGGCGUUAAACUUCUUUUGUGCGGGAGCAAUAAUGGUCACGUGUGGCCAGACGAGAGUACCGUACGAAUAAGCAUCGGCUAACUCCGUGCCAGCAGCCGCGGUAAUACGGGGGAUGUAAGCGUUAUCCGGAUUUAUUGGGUUUAAAGGGUGCGUAGGCUGUGAGGUAAGUCAGCGGUGAAAUGCCCCCGCUCAACGGGGUGAAGUGCCAUUGAUACUGCCUGGCUGGAAUGCGGAUGCCGUGGGAGGAAUGUGUGGUGUAGCGGUGAAAUGCAUAGAUAUCACACAGAACACCGAUUGCGAAGGCAUCUCACGAAUCCGCGAUUGACGCUGAUGCACGAAAGCGUGGGUAUCAAACAGGAUUAGAUACCCCAGUAGUC